GUUCUAGACCAGCAAAGAGAGGGAGCCAGUUCUCUCGAAACACAAAAAACUGGUUCUCAAUUGAGCACCGGCCACAAACCAGCCCUGAAACCGUGGAAAAGGUGUAUAUAGAAAAGAAGAUGAGGAGGAAAACAGCACAGAACAGUGAGGGAUGUGAAAACACACAAGGUGCUAAGUGAAAGAGACAUCACCAAAAUGAAAGAAAACAUGGAGGAACCACAAACCUCAACAGUCUUUGGCAGUGUAACAGGACUGGUUGAGUGAAAUAUAAAUGCAAACUGACAUUAAAAGUUACGAGAAAGAGGACUUUAAACAGGCGCUGCUGUUAUUUUCUACAUCUGUAAUACAUGUCAACAGAAAAACACUGAUGUUUUGACUUCAUCAUGAAUAAAAAUAUUAAGUUUAACAUUGAUUCCACCUGCAAGUAGUAGUAUUUAAGAAUACUUUUGCCAUUGAGGUGCUACCAGCCAUCAAAUCUGAGGGGCUGUAUUUCCAGUUCAAUAAAUAAAUAAAUGAGUAAUUUUUGAACCAAUAAAAUCAUCUGCUUUGUUUCAAGG